GAUCAUACAUAUUACAAGUUGUCCUGCAUUUUGUUAAAUUAACAUAAUUGCCUUGCAUUGUAAUGUUAUAGCAGUGGUCACAAUUUCUAAAAUUUUGUCUUUAUUCACAACAGAAAGCAAUAGUCUUUUUAAAGACUCUCUCCGUCUCUACCCUCGCAUCCAUCUGUGGAAGACUUUCUCCAAAGACUCUCCAAAGACUUUCCUCCCAUCUUGUCUUCCCUUGCGGUGCUACAGACUUUUCAGAAAACAGACAAACUCCAGGCUUGCCUCAAGACAGCGGUUACAGCAGCUAUAUACCCUCAGUCCCUUAAGGUGGUGACGUCUCAGGCUCGUUCCAGACCAGCCUUCACCACCAGAGGGGUGUCUGUCUGCCACCUGUGUCUGUUUGUCUGUACGCACCUGUACACGUCUACGUCUGUCCACACUACACGCAUACACACUAACAACAUUACUUGACAUCAUUGCUGACAACAGAACCCACUUACCUACAUACCUGCAUACAUAUUUGGGACAAGAAUUCUUAACACUGUCUGAUUACAUACCUGCUGCACAUACCUGGCACAUACUUUGAUCACAUACUGUUUGUCUUGUCUGUGCACGAAAGAUACAUUACUGACAACAUUGCUGACAUCACUGACAUCAUCUCUGACAACAUAACCCACUUACCUACAUACCUGCAUACAUAUUGCUGACAAGAAUUCUUAACACUGUCUGAUACAUACCUGCUGCAAAUACCUGCUGCACAUACCUGAAUGUACAU